GAUGAACGCUGGCGGUAUGCUUAACACAUGCAAGUCGAACGAGAACGGAUUAUAGCUUGCUAUAAUUGUCAGCUAAGUGGCGCACGGGUGAGUAAUGUAUAGGUAAUAUGCCUCUUACUAAGGGAUAACAAAUGGAAACGUUUGCUAAUACCUUAUACUCCUUAUUAACAGAAGUUAAUAAGGGAAAGAUUUAUCGGUAAGAGAUUAGCCUGUAUUGUAUCAGUUAGUUGGUGGGGUAAUGGCUUACCAAGACUAUGACACAUAACUGGUUUGAGAGGAUGAUCAGUCAUACUGGGACUGGGACACGGUCCAGACUCCUACGGGAGGCAGCAGUGGGUAAUAUUGCACAAUGGACGAACGUCUGAUGCAGCAACGCCGCGUGGAGGAUGACACAUUUCGGCGCGUAAACUCCUUUUAUAUGAGAAGAUAAUGACGGUAUUAUAUGAAUAAGCACCGGCUAACUCCGUGCCAGCCGCCGCCGUAA
rnacentral:rRNA from 1 species